CAGAUUGGUUACCCUUGCAAAUUCUGUUACAGCAUCAAUUGAAUAUCUUCUGCAAAAUGAUCAUCAUCAGCAGUGGAGCAGGCUUGCACGGAAGAGCAGAAGGAGCUAGCUGCUGCCAGGACAGACGGGGCAGGAGGCAACGCGGCCAGGGGGACAGCGGCACCGCGGAGCUGCUGGUGGGUGCCUCGCCUCCUCCCACUUCCAUAGCCCUACAAACUGCCCAAGGGCACAACGCAGAGCUGGAGGGUAAUCUCAGGUUCGGGAGCCAGUAGUACUUGCAAUACCA
rnacentral:lncRNA from 1 species